CCUACGGGCGGCAGCAGUGAGGAAUAUUGGUCAAUGGGCGCGAGCCUGAACCAGCCAAGUCGCGUGAGGGAAGACGGUCCUAUGGAUUGUAAACCUCUUUUGUCGGGGAGCAAAAGACGCCACGCGUGGCGUUCCGAGAGUACCCGAAGAAAAAGCAUCGGCUAACUCCGUGCCAGCAGCCGCGGUAAUACGGAGGAUGCGAGCGUUAUCCGGAUUUAUUGGGUUUAAAGGGUGCGCAGGCGGAAUAUCAAGUCAGCGGUAAAAUUGAGAGGCUCAACCUCUUCGAGCCGUUGAAACUGGUUUGCUUGAGUGAGCGAGAGGUAUGCGGAAUGCGUGGUGUAGCGGUGAAAUGCAUAGAUAUCACGCAGAACUCCGAUUGCGAAGGCAGCAUACCGGCGCUCAACUGACGCUCAUGCACGAAAGUGUGGGUAUCGAACAGGAUUAGAUACCCGUGUAGUC
rnacentral:rRNA from 1 species